GAUGAACGCUGGCGGCGUGCCUAAUACAUGCAAGUCGAGCGAACAGAUAAGGAGCUUGCUCCUUUGACGUUAGCGGCGGACGGGUGAGUAACACGUGGGUAACCUACCUAUAAGACUGGAAUAACUCCGGGAAACCGGGGCUAAUGCCGGAUAACAUUUAGAACCGCAUGGUUCUAAAGUGAAAGAUGGUUUUGCUAUCACUUAUAGAUGGACCCGCGCCGUAUUAGCUAGUUGGUAAGGUAACGGCUUACCAAGGCAACGAUACGUAGCCGACCUGAGAGGGUGAUCGGCCACACUGGAACUGAGACACGGUCCAGACUCCUACGGGAGGCAGCAGUAGGGAAUCUUCCGCAAUGGGCGAGAGCCUGACGGAGCAACGCCGCGUGAGUGAUGAAGGUCUUCGGAUCGUAAAACUCUGUUAUUAGGGAAGAACAAAUGUGUAAGUAACUGUGCACGUCUUGACGGUACCUAAUCAGAAAGCCACGGCUAACUACGUG
rnacentral:rRNA from 1 species